rnacentral:rRNA from 1 species
UACGGGGGGAGCAAGCGUUGUUCGGAUUUACUGGGCGUAAAGGGCUCGUAGGUGGCCAACUAAGUCAGACGUGAAAUCCCUCGGCUUAACCGGGGAACUGCGUCUGAUACUGGUUGGCUUGAAUCCGGGAGAGGGAUGUGGAAUUCCAGGUGUAGCGGUGAAAUGCGUAGAUAUCUGGAGGAACACCGGUGGCGAAGGCGGCAUCCUGGACCAACACUGACGCUGAGGAGCGAAAGCCAGGGGAGCAAACGGG